GCCGUGGGCGUAAGAAGAUUGAAGAGAUUUGACCCUAGUACGAGAGGACCGGGUUGAACAAACCACUGGUGUAGCUGUUGUUCUGCCAAGAGCAUCGCAGCGUAGCUAAGUUUGGAAAGGAUAAACGCUGAAAGCAUCUAAGCGUGAAGCCAACUCUAAGAUGAAUCUUCUCUAAGCUCUCUAGAAGACUACUAGUUUGAUAGGCUGGGUGUGUAAUGGAUGAAAGUCCUUUAGCUGACCAGUACUAAUAGAGCGUUUGGCUUAUCUUUAAUAAAGCAU
rnacentral:rRNA from 1 species